rnacentral:lncRNA from 1 species
CUAUACAGCUACUGUACAAGUAACAUUUUCUUUUCCUGUAAGAGAGCAUCUUCAUCACCCAUAGCUCUCCCACUCAGACUCAAGUUCAUACACAUGGCAGAUCCAACCCCUCUCCUCUCCCAAUCCCACUUGGCCGACCCAGAACCUAUGCUCAUUCCCAAACACCUCCCAUCCCUCGACGAAACUUUCGAGCGAUACAUAGGAGAUUUUGGGUGGGCUCAGCUUCUUCAAGCCUUCCUUGUGUCUUUUGCCUGGGUCUUUGAUGCGCAACAAACCUUCAUCAGCUUAUUUACUGAUGCUGAGCCUCCUUGGCACUGCACUGAACUCGGCACAGAGCUAUGCACUUCCGUUUCUAACAUCUGUCAGCUUCCCAAGGGCUCAUGGGCGUGGGACCGAGCAGCGGACACCUCGAUUGUAUCGGAAUGGACCCUUGUGUGUGCCGGUUCCAUCAUCAAGAGCCUCCCUGCGUCUUCCUUCUUCAUGGGCUGCAUGGUUGGUGGACUUGUUCUUGCCACACUCGCCGACUCAUCCCUCGGCCGCAAAAACAUGUUAUUCUUUUCAUGUCUCCUGAUGUCAGCUACAGGGAUUUUGACUAUUUUCUCCCCAAAUGUUUGGAUCUACUCUGGGUUUAGAUUCCUUUCUGGGUUUGGGCGUGCCACCAUUGGAACAUGUGCUAUUGUGUUGUCGACAGAGCUCGUUGGAAAACGGUGGCGCAGCCAGGUGGGGGUAUGCGGUUUCUUCCUUUUCACACUAGGGUUCUUGUCCCUACCAGCCAUAGCUUACUUAAGCAGAGGUUCCUCAUGGAGAUAUCUUUAUCUGUGGACUUCUGUGCCGGCAUUGUCGUAUUGUGUUUUAGUCCAUUUCUUCGUUCGUGAGUCUCCUAGAUGGCUUUUGGUGCGUGGACGAAAAGAAGAAGCUGUGGCAACACUGAAAAGUAUAGGGGCUGUAAACAAUAGUAGCUUCACCUUAAGCUUCUCAGGCUUGCCCUUUGAAGAUGAGGAAACUACAAAUCUACAUCUUUGCUCUGUGAUAAGCAUCCUGCUGGAGAAAAGAUGGGCUUUGCGGCGAUUAUCUGCAGUCAUGACAGUAGGAUUUGGGGUGGGAAUGGUGUACUAUGGCAUGCCGUUGGCGCUGGGAAACCUGCCUUUCAAUCUCUACUGGAACGUCACUUUCAAUGCCUUAUCAGAGCUGCCCGCAUCAUUAAUCGCUUUCUUCUUUAUCGAGAGACUGAAUAGGAAAAGUUCAGUGCUGGUUUUCACCAUGACAAGUGGGGUUUGCAGUAUCAUGUGUGUGGUGAUGGGUGAAGAAUGGGCAUCACUGAAGAUUGGACUAGAACUGGUCUCAUUCUUCAGCACAUGCACCGCAUUCGACAUCUUACUAAUAUACACCAUAGAGCUGUUUCCCACAUGCGUUAGGAACUCGGCCAUGGCGAUGGUGAGGCAGGCGCUGGUGUUUGGGGGCGUGUUCUGCCCCGUUAUAGUGGAAAUCGGCAUGGGAAACGGGUACUUGUCGUAUGGAGUUUUCGGAGUAGUGAUAAUAAGCUGUGGGCUGUUUGUGGGAUGCUUGCCAGAGACAAAGGGUGGGACACUUUGUGACACAAUGGAGGAAGAAGAAAACAAGGAGAGAGCAGCAGUUGCUUCAUUAAUCUCAGCUUAAGCUUGAGUAACUGUAUGAAUUAUGAGGUUGAUAACAAUGGGGUACUGUUGUCUCUGAAUCGAGAGACUGAACACCUUUUCUCUCCUUUCCUUUUUCCAGAAAUCUUCACCUCACAUCUUGAGGAAACACCACAACAGAUAGGGUUUUAUUUUCGGAGAGAAACACCCAUCUAUGAAUUAAUGUUUAAGUCUUACAUUCCUCUUUGAAUUGAACAAUAUUUCAUGUCUGUAUCAGCCCAGACCUUAUCUUAUCUUGCUUAUACUUAAUCCAAAUCCAAUAAAUUUAAUAAACCACAAGGAACACAUACAGCAAACGAAAAUUUCAUUAAACUUAAUUCCAAAUUAUGAAAGUACCCAUUGGCACAUUAGGCUACGUAAUUUAAGAUCGACAGUUUUGUUUCGUUCAAUAUAACAUUAGGACCUUUCUAGAUAGGGUUUUAUUUUUGGAUAGAAGCAUGCCCUCAUCUAUGUAUUAAUAUUUAAAUCUUACAUUGCUAGUCUUAAACCUUAUCUUAUCUUGUUUAUACUUGAUCCAAAUCCAAGUCCAAGAAACUUAAUAAACCAUUAGGACACAACAAAAUAAAAUUUCAUUAAACCUCCAAAUUCUAAAAGUCCCUAUCGAUACAAUAUUAUACCUUGUAGUUUAAGAUUCACAAUUUUGUCCCACUCAUUCUAACAUUAGAACCUUUCCCAAUAGAGUUUUAUUUUAAGAUAGAAGCAUGCAUCCAUCUAUGUAUUAUUAGUCUCUUGGAUGACUAGGUUGUGACAAAUCAUACACGCAUUCCAGACCAUUGGUUUCUUAUAGUCAAUGAUUCCAUUAUUGAAUACUCCAAACAUAUUGUACUUAGUACUAGCAUUUGAGAUACCUUCUUUUAUUAUUUGUACCCUUUUCCCUUUGCAUUUACAGACCUGAAGUAUGGUCAGAAUAUUAGAAAAAGGAAAUUAAAUUAUAAUGCUCUAAUUUUGAAGGGUGCUAAAAGUUUUGAACUCCUUGAAACUGUUUUUCCCAUGGAAUGUUUCUGCAUUGCAUGUCUUUUCUAAUGUUUUCUAAUGUUUGAAACAAAAAUUAUUAAAACAGUUUGUAUAUUAAAAAUAAGUUUUUGAAAAUCAGAAUAUUAAUUAAACAAAAAAAGAAUGACCAGUUAGCCCUGUUGGCAUCUAAGAUUAAUUUUGAUUAUUAAUUGAAAUUUCAUAAAAUAAAAAAAUAAAAAAACAAAAUUAAUGGUUUAUAUUAAAAUUUUAAAAAUUUAAAUUAAAAGAAAAUAAAUGAGAAAAAAAAUUAAAAAAAAAAUUUUAAACAUAAUAAAUGGUUUUUUAUAUACUUUUUCAAAUUUCUCACACUUCUAUAUAAAUAGGAAACGAUUCAAAAUAAUUUUAAAUUUCUAUAUCACUAUAAAAAUAUAAAACCCUAGGUCAGAGCAAGGUUAGCUUCAGCUCAAUUUAUUGUCCAGAGAUCUCAAAAUAUAAUUAUAAAAAUUGAAAAGGAAUCAAUACUUUGCAAUAGCCAACUCAUACAUUUGACCAAUCUCCCUUGGUGUGCACCAACUUUUAUCCACAAGUGGGAAAUUUUUUUCCAUGCAUGUCAUUGUGAAGCAUCACGUGAUUACACCACGUUCAAUUUAUUAAUUGGCAAAUAUUACCAUAUGCAAUUAUGCAUAGCCCAUUUUUAUUUUUAUUAUUAGCAAAAAGAUUAAAAAAAUUAAAAUUUAACAUGCUACCUAAUUUAAUUGUAGUUUAAUUAUUUUGAUUAAUACUUUUUCGAAACAAGUGUUAAAAGAAUAUGCAACCGUCAAAGAGAUCUUCUGUCAUCUCCUCCUUGACUGUAAAGAUAAUUUUAAAUAAUUUUAUUAGUUUAUUUGGAAAGAGACAAAUUGUGACUAAUCUAAGUAAUAAUAAAGGUAAUAAAUUACACUAAUAAAAAAAUAUCAUGUAAUAAUCUUUUUAAUUAAAUAUAUAAGAGUGCGUUUAAUAGUAUUUUCACUCUUUUUAGUGAAAAUAUUUUUUUAAACGUUUUGUAGGACAAUCAUCUAUCAAGUGUUUUUUUUAAAAACAUUAUAAGUGAUUUUUUAAUACUAUAAAUGAUUUUUCAAAUUUUUAAAAAUGUUUUCUAAAUUUUGUCAAACACCAAAUCUUUUUUCAAUAAUAUUUUUUAAAGUUAGAAACAUUUCCUAAAAUCACAACCAAAUGGACUCUAAACCUCAUUAAAUGUAAAAUUUUUCAAUGUUUUCUUCAAAUAAAACAUUUUAGGAAUUUGAUUAGGUUACGGUACCUCUAAUUUUGAUUUAUUACCUUUUUUUUUGUAAUUUUAAUUUGAGGGGUUAGAAUAAACUUCUCGACUAGAUAGUUACAGUAAAUUUAAAGGGAGAAUAUGUUUAUAUUGGCAUAUAUUGCACUCUAAUAAGAGCAAUCCAUUUUAGCACUAAACACACUCGCUAAUUACUUAAUUGUAUGUUACUUCAUAUAUCCUUGAUUUUCUUACAUUUUUCAUCUAAUUGUUUGUACUUACAAAUAUUUUCAAACAAUUAUGGUCUUGAAAACCCCUAAGACAUCUUGGAGGCAAGAAUGAAGUAUGGGUAGAGUUGUAGUUGCAUGAUGGUCAAUGACGCACAACACUAUUUGAUCAAUGAGAAGGUAGCCUGGUUGAGGUAGAGAUUUCAAAACUAUCAAAAAUGCUUAUUUUUAUAAGAAAAUCUCAUAAUAGAAUAUUUCUUUUUAUGAACUAAUUUAGGAGUUUAGAAGAUGAGGGUGCAAGGUAGGCCAUUUGGCACAUGGGUGUAUCCAAAGUUGAUGUGGCACAUGCGAUGCUUGUCAUUAAUUGAUAACGGUCCAAUAUUUGACUUUGAUAUCUAUUGGUCCCUUCCUAGAUUCAAAAAUAAAAUAUGAUAAAUGUUAAUACCAAGUACAACAAACCCUGCAUUGUGUCUUUCAAGAAUCAAGAUCAAGUAGGCAAGGGCUUCCAUGGAGUCUCUGCGCUCUUCCCGUGUCAAGGGAGCUUUAAUUAAUAUUUCAAUUGUUUUUUAGAACAUCUUUUCUUAAAAAAAAAAAAAGAAACCAUGAAAACAUCCCACAUUUUUGUCAAAAAAAAAUCACUAUGUUUUCACAUCAAAUUAUCAAAACACUUCUCAAUCUAAAAUUUAUCAUAUGUGUUUUUCAAGUUUUAAAAAAUUGUUUUUGAAAAUAAUCGUCAAAUAAAUCUUAUAUUUCCAUCCAUAUUUUAUCACCUAUUUAUUUUUAAAACAUCAAUUUUAAUUUCAAAAAUGCUCUUUAGUAAAAAUGCAAAAAAAAAUAAAAACAUUUGUUCUUUUUAGUUAUUUAAAAAAAAAAAAUUAUUCUUAAGAUGUUGGAUCAAGAACACAUCAAUAAUUGUUCAACCUUUAUUUUCAUCAUAUUAUAUAUAUAUAUAUAUAUAUAUAUAUAUAUAUAUAUAUAUAUAUAUAUAUAUAUUACUUUUCCUUCCUCCUUUUCUUUUAGUAAAGGUUAAACUUCUUAUCACCAAUAAACAAGAAUACUUUAGAAUUGAAUCAAUAAUAUAUAAACCUUAAUAAUUUCCAAGUAAACCCUCCUACUGGAUUUUCAUAGCGAUCACUUUUCCUUCAUCCUUUAUUUUUAGUAAAGAUUAAACUUUAUAUCACCAAUAAAUAAACGUGAAUAAUUUAGAAUUGAAUCAAUUAUAUAUAAACCUUAACAACCUUCAAGCAAAACCCUCUUACUCAAUUUCCCGAUUUAUAUGUAUAUAUCUAUAUAUAUGUUACUUUUCCUUGAUUCUUUUCUUUUCUUAAAGGUUAAACUUUACAUCGAGCGAGAAUGCUUUAGAAUUGAAUCAAUUAUAUAUAAACCUUUAACAACCUUCAAGCAAACUCUCUUACUCAAUUUCCCCAUCUAUAAAAAAAAAAUCAUCCCAAAUAUUGAACUUAAAUUAAUUUUGUGUUGUACACGUUGGUUGGUCUAUUCAUAGCCCAUAUAUCGAGUUUUAUCAAAAUGAAUUCGGAAUUCGGUUGUGGACAAAAUUUAUACCAAGAAUGGCAUAUCAAUUGGGCCAUAUCCAUGCCAUAUAGAGAGAAUUAAUAAUAAACAUAUAUUAUUAAAAUUUUGAUUUUAAUAAAUAUUUGAUUUUUUUUUUAAAGUAAUGAAUAAGCAUUAUUGCUUUGUUGGAUUCCCAUUCUUUGAAUUUUCCCUUUUCAUUUAAAUAAUAAAAAAGGCUACUACAUUUUUUUUCAAAAGAGACUGCUAUUAUCAUCUUCAUCUCUUUUAUCCUUUUUUUUUUGGCCAUCCUCUUCCCUGGAUGACAAGUGAUGGUUUGUACUAUUCUUAUAUAUAAUAAUUUAUCACAUGAUGAAAACGUAAAAUGAUUUCAUAAAAAUUAAUCAUUAAGAAUUUAUUAAAAGAAAAAAUUAUUCAAUCCAAUUCAACCCUUGUAUAAGUUGUCCAUACGUAAUAAGUGAGCCGGUCAGUGGGAAAGAAAAUAAACCUAAACGGUCGAACCCAUGAGACCGGCUAUAAGAGAGCAUCUUCACCACCCUACUCACAAACACAAGCACAAGCUCACAUACAUGGCAGAUUCAACCCCUCUCCUCUCUCAAUCCCACCCGGCCGACCCAGAACCUCUACUCAUCCCCAAACACCUCCCAUCCCUCGACGAAACUUUCGAGCGAUACAUAGGAGAUUUUGGGUGGGCUCAGCUUCUUCAAGCCUUCCUUGUGUCUUUUGCCUGGGUCUUUGAUGCUCAACAAACCUUCAUCAGCGUAUUUACUGAUGCUGAGCCUCCUUGGCACUGCACUGAACUCGGCACAGAGCUAUGCACUUCCGUUUCUAACAUCUGUCAGCUUCCCAAGGGCUCAUGGGCGUGGGACCGGGCAGCGGACACCUCAAUUGUAUCGGAAUGGACCCUUGUGUGUGCCGGUUCCAUCAUCAAGAGCCUCCCUGCGUCUUCCUUCUUCACGGGCUGCAUGGUUGGUGGACUUGUUCUUGCCACACUCGCCGACUCAUCCUUCGGCCGCAAAAACAUGUUAUUC